rnacentral:rRNA from 1 species
GACGAACGCUGGCGGCGUGCUUAACACAUGCAAGUCGAACGGAAAGGCCCUGCUUUUGUGGGGUGCUCGAGUGGCGAACGGGUGAGUAACACGUGAGUAACCUGCCCUUUACUUUCGGAUAACUGCAGGAAACUGGGGCUAAUACCGGAGAGGAGCUCCGGCUGCAUGGUGGGGGUUGGAAAGUUUCGGCGGUUGGGGAUGGACUCGCGGCUUAUCAGCUUGUUGGUGGGGUAGUGGCUUACCAAGGCUUUGACGGGUAGCCGGCCUGAGAGGGUGACCGGCCACAUUGGGACUGAGAUACGGCCCAGACUCCUACGGGAGGCAGCAGUGGGGAAUAUUGCACAAUGGGCGGAAGCCUGAUGCAGCGACGCCGCGUGCGGGAUGACGGCCUUCGGGUUGUAAACCGCUUUCGCCUGUGACGAAGCGUGAGUGACGGUAAUGGGUAAAGAAGCACCGGCUAACUACGUG